rnacentral:rRNA from 1 species
GAUGAACGCUGGCGGCGUGCCUAACACAUGCAAGUCGAGCGAUUCUCUUCGGUGAAAAGCGGCGGACGGGUGAGUAACGCGUGGGUAACCUGCCCUGUACACACGGAUAACAUACCGAAAGGUAUGCUAAUACGAGAUAAUAUGCUUUUAUCGCAUGGCAGAAGUAUCAAAGCUCCGGCGGUACAGGAUGGACUCGCGUCUGAUUAUCUAUUGGGUAAGGUAACGGCUUACCAAGGCGACGAUCAGUAGCCGACCUGAGAGGGUGAUAGGCCACAUUGGAACUGAGACACGGUCCAAACUCCUACGGGAGGCAGCAGUGGUGAAUAUUGCAAAAUGGGCGAAAGCCUAAUGCAGCAACGCCGCGUGAGCGAUGAAGGCCUUCGGGUCGUAAAGCUCUGUCCUCAAGGAAGAUAAUGACGGUACUUGAGGAGGAAGCCCCGGCUAACUACGUGCCAGCCGCCGCCGUAAUAC